rnacentral:rRNA from 1 species
UACGUAGGUGACAAGCGUUGUCCGGAUUUACUGGGCGUAAAGGGCUUGUAGGUGGCCAACUAAGUCAGACGUGAAAUCCCUCGGCUUAACCGGGGAACUGCGUCUGAUACUGGAUGGCUUGAGAUUGGGAGAGGGAUGCGGAAUUCCAGGUGUAGCGGUGAAAUGCGUAGAUAUCUGGAGGAACACCGGUGGCGAAGGCGGGUCUCUGGGCCGAUACUGACGCUGAGACGCGAAAGCGUGGGGAGCGAACAGG